rnacentral:lncRNA from 1 species
CACAGUUCUCAGAAAUAAGAAUUUGAAGCCCAAGAUGGAUGGCAAUUCAGUCCCCUGGCUUGGAUGAAGUCCUUUCUAGCAACUGAGACAAUACCUGGUAGAAACUGAUCUCUGUUGAUUCUAGGAAAGCAGAAAACAUUUGAAUCAAAAUAUCAAAGUAAACAAAAAGCAACUUUGAAAUUUUACUGGCAAUUAGUGGACUUACA